AAACAGAAGGCGUAUUAUGUAGACAGCAGUUCAGUUACUUUUCAUUUUUAGUGUAUACUUUCAAUCAGUUGUUGUUAACAAUCAGUUUUUGAUGUUAUACAAUAAUUUUUAAAUCAACACACUGCCAAUUGUCUGUAUUGUUGUUUAUUUAGUUAAGACUCAAGUUUCGGCUUUUUUUCCAAAUUUCAAGCUACUGAGUUUAUCAUUAACAUAUAUUGCAGGACAUCAGGCCAAUUUUGAGCUUCAUAUCCUGCAAUGUACGAGCAUGUUAAUAACAUAAACUCAAUUACUUGAGAGUGGCACAAAUUUUCACUGUCACCAUUAUCGUAAACAGCCUAAGGUAGUCCACAUUCCUAACUGCAAGCGCAUUUCAUCAGAAAUUAUCGUGUUCACGAAGUGUUUCAAUUUGCGAAUGACCACUGAGUUGAGACGGGCAUUCGUAUGGAAAAAGGAAAAAAAAAAUUACGCUUACAUAGGCGGCGGCACCAGGAACUGAGAAAACCGCGCAACAGAUGUCAGAUCGUUCUGCUGUUUUACAGCCCAAAAAUGUGAUUAAAACCUCAGAAAUGGAGCUUCCCACGACUGUAAGAAGUUUGGUUGAAGAUUUCUGCCAAAUGCCAAAGCUCUAAAACAAGUGUCUCUGAUUCCACAUCCAUAAUGUUCUUGCAGUUCGUGAGUGGAUGUGUUUCCCAAAUCCGUUCCAUCCUCACUGUGGCGUUAAGAUUUUUCUUAGCUUUGUUCAUUCCGGUAACGUGGCGCGUAACAAAAGUACCUCAAUACUCAAAACUACGAGGAACGUUCAGCAAGUAAUGAAACACUUUUUUUCUGAAACCAUGGACCGCAAUGUGAUGCUAAAGUUCACUUGAGGUAAUACGAAAUAAUCGUAAGAAAGAAAAGAAAUAGCUCGCAAAAUCAUUAUAGACACGGAAACAGUUGAAAAAGUCUUCCAGACCAUAUAAUACUGGUUUCGUACGUGUUACCAUACGUAUCGCUCAAACAGAACUUCCAGCCAUCUGGCGACCAUCUAGGGAAACGGGGCAAAUAGUUCCUCACGCAGCCGCUGUUGAGCGCUGCAUGUAUGUGCGUUUUACACCUGAUGUGAAAAGAAGCUGGAAAUUAAAUCAUAAGCGAGACAUCGCUUUAUCAACUUCUCAUUGUAGCAGUAAUCUUAAUUUUAAUUGUUUUUCGGGUAAUUGAUUUUAUUACUGACGCCAAUCAAACUGUCAGUGACAGGACGUUCUCACUUUGUGUUUUAUCACAUCGAAGUAAUAUUAACCAGAGUGCGACUUUGAAUUUAUUUUCAGCACAAGAUUAAGACCACCAAAAGCAGCAACAUUUUUAUCAAUUUUUGACGGCAUUGCUGGUAAACCAGCAAUGCUCAUAUAUCAGUAAAAAUUGUACCUCAGGAAGUGAUAAUCUGAACUGCGAUUUUCCGAUGUCAGUGAAGUGCGAAUGCUAACGUUCAGUAUCUGAUAUUCUUAAUCGUGAUUUGUCGCAGGCAGCACCACCUAUAGAGGAUCCAGGUCGUGUAUCCCUCCGCACUCUACCACUGCGAUUUCUGUGACUUACCACCGUAUGAAAAAGGUAAAUCUGUCCACACAGAAAAUUGCAUCUCAACAAAACUGUCAUUAGUACCCGAACUUCAUUUCAGUCACUCAUUGUCAACAGAUCUGCAGAAAUUGCCACCCUGUAGACUGUCUUCGUCAAACAAGAGACGCAGUUCUGACUCUGAUUACUGGUUACUGUACGUAUCUAUCCAUAUCAAGGCUCUUGAGAGAGAAUCGUGAAGAUUCACGACAGCUCUUAGAGGAUUUGCAGCUUAAAAGUGCCAUAAUUAUGAAAUAAGUGUGCAAAAUGAGUGAGUGAACUGUGUUGUAUUGAAGUUGUUAUGCGAUU